rnacentral:rRNA from 1 species
GAUGAACGCUGGCGGCGUGCCUAAUACAUGCAAGUCGAGCGAAUGGAUUAAGAGCUUGCUCCUAUGAAGUUAGCGGCGGACGGGUGAGUAACACGUGGGUAACCUGCCCAUAAGACUGGGAUAACUCCGGGAAACCGGGGCUAAUACCGGAUAACAUUUUGAACCGCAUGGUUCGAAAUUGAAAGGCGGCUUCGGCUGUCACUUAUGGAUGUACCCGCGUCGCAUUAGCUAGUUGGUGAGGUAACGGCUCACCAAGGCAACGAUGCGUAGCCGACCUGAGAGGGUGAUCGGCCACACUGGGACUGAGACACGGCCCAGACUCCUACGGGAGGCAGCAGUAGGGAAUCUUCCGCAAUGGACGAAAGUCUGACGGAGCAACGCCGCGUGAGUGAUGAAGGCUUUCGGGUCGUAAAACUCUGUUGUUAGGGAAGAACAAGUGCUAGUUGAAUAAGCUGACACCUUGACGGUACCUAACCAGAAAGCCACGGCUAACUACGUGCCAGCCGCCGCCGUAA